rnacentral:rRNA from 1 species
AAAGCGUGCGCAGGCGGCUUUGCAAGACAGAGGUGAAAUCCCCGGGCUCAACCUGGGAACUGCCUUUGUGACUGCAAGGCUAGAGUACGGCAGAGGGGGAUGGAAUUCCGCGUGUAGCAGUGAAAUGCGUAGAUAUGCGGAGGAACACCAAUGGCGAAGGCAAUCCCCUGGGCCUGUACUGACGCUCAUGCACGAAAGCGUGGGGAGCAAACAGGAUUAGAUACCCUAGU